GGCCAGCAGCCGCGGUAAAACGUAGGAGGCGAGCGUUAUCCGGAUUUACUGGGUGUAAAGCGUGUGCAGGCGGUACAGCAAGUUGGAUGUGAAAGCUCCUGGCUUAACUGGGAGAGGUCGUUCAAAACUGCUGAACUUGAGUGUGGGAGAGGGAGGUGGAAUUCCGGGUGUAGUGGUGAAAUGCGUAGAUAUCCGGAGGAACACCAGUGGCGAAAGCGGCCUCCUGGCCCAUUACUGACGCUCAGACACGAAAGCUAGGGGAGCGAACGGGAUUAGAGACCCCGGUAGUCCUAGCUGUAAACGAUGUGAACUUGGCGUCGGUGGGUUUAAAUCCAUCGGUGCCGAAGCUAACGCGAUAAGUUCACCACCUGGGGACUACGGCCGCAAGGUUAAAACUCAAAGGAAUUGACGGGGGCCCGCACAAGC
rnacentral:rRNA from 1 species